GUAGGCAGCGAGCGUUGUUCGGAGUUACUGGGCGUAAAGGGUGUGUAGGCGGUUCUUUAAGUUUGGUGUGAAAUCUCCCGGCUCAACCGGGAGGGUGCGCCGAAUACUGAGGGACUAGAGUGCGGGAGAGGAAAGUGGAAUUCCUGGUGUAGCGGUGAAAUGCGUAGAUAUCAGGAGGAACACCGGUGGUGUAGACGGCUUUCUGGACCGUAACUGACGCUGAGACACGAAAGCGUGGGUAGCAAACAGGAUUAGAUACCCUGGUAGUCCACGCCCUAAACGAUGCAUAUUUGGUGUGGGCAGUUCAUUCUGUCCGUGCCGGAGCUAACGCGUUAAAUAUGCCGCCUGGGGAGUACAGUCGCAAGGCUG
rnacentral:rRNA from 1 species